rnacentral:rRNA from 1 species
CUACGGGGGGCUGCAGUAGGGAAUCUUGCGCAAUGGGCGAAAGCCUGACGCAGCAACGCCGCGUGAGCGAAGACGGCCUUCGGGUUGUAAAGCUCUGUCAGGAGGGACGAAGCCACUCGGGUGAAUAGCCCAGAGGGUGACGGUACCUCCAGAGGAAGCCCCGGCUAACUACGUGCCAGCAGCCGCGGUAAUACGUAGGGGGCAAGCGUUGUCCGGAAUUAUUGGGCGUAAAGAGCGUGUAGGCGGCGCGUCAAGUCCGAUGUGAAAUCUCGUGGCUCAACCACGAAACUGCAUUGGAAACUGGCUUGCUAGAGUCCGGAAGAGGAGAAUGGAAUUCCUGGUGUAGCGGUGAAAUGCGCAGAUAUCAGGAAGAACACCGGUGGCGAAGGCGGUUCUCUGGGACGGUACUGACGCUGAGACGCGAAAGCGUGGGGAGCGAACAGGAUUAGAUACCCCGGUAGUC